ACGAACGCUGGCGGCGUGCUUAACACCUGCAAGUCGCACGGAAAGGCCCUGCUUUUGUGGGGUGCUCGAGUGGCGAACGGGUGAGUAACACGUGAGUAACCUGCCCUUGACUUUGGGAUAACUUCAGGAAACUGGGGCUAAUACCGGAUAGGAGCUCCUGCUGCAUGGUGGGGGUUGGAAAGUUUCGGCGGUUGGGGAUGGACUCGCGGCUUAUCAGCUUGUUGGUGGGGUAGUGGCUUACCAAGGCUUUGACGGGUAGCCGGCCUGGGAGGGUGACCGGCCACAUUGGGACUGAGAUACGGCCCAGACUCCUACGGGGGGCAGCAGUGGGGAAUAUUGCACAAUGGGCGGAAGCCUGAUGCAGCAACGCCGCGUGCGGGAUGACGGCCUUCGGGUUGUAAACCGCUUUCGCCUGUGACGAAGCGUGAGUGACGGUAAUGGGUAAAGAAGCACCGGCUAACUACGUG
rnacentral:rRNA from 1 species